AUUGAACGCUGGCGGCAUGCUUUACACAUGCAAGUCGAACGGUAACAGGGUGCUUGCACCGCUCACGAGUUGCGAACGGGUGAGUAAUGCGUCGGAACGUGCCGAGUAGUGGGGAAUAACGCAGCGAAAGUUGUUCUAAUACCGCAUACGUACUGAGGCAGAAAGUGGGGGACAUUCGGUCCUCACGCUAUUCGAGCGGCCGACGUCUGAUUAGCUAGUAGGUGAGGUAAGGCUACCCUAGGCGACGAUCAGUAGCGGGUCUGAGAGGAUGAUCCGCCACACUGGGACUGAGACACGGCCCAGACUCCUACGGGAGGCAGCAGUGGGGAAUUUUGGACAAUGGGCGAAAGCCUGAUCCAGCCAUGCCGCGUGUCUGAAGAAGGCCUUCGGGUUGUAAAGGACUUUUGUCAGGGAGGAAAUCCCUAGCGUUAAUACCGCUGGGGGAUGAAAGUACCUGAAGAAUAAGCACCGGCUAACUACGUGCCAGCCGCCGCUGUAA
rnacentral:rRNA from 1 species